rnacentral:rRNA from 1 species
UACGUAGGGUGCGAGCGUUGUCCGGAAUUAUUGGGCGUAAAGAGCUCGUAGGCGGUGUGUCACGUCGUUCGUGAAAACCUGCAGCUUAACUGUGGCGUGCGGUCGAUACGGGCAUCACUGGAGUUCGGCAGGGGAGACUGGAAUUCCCGGUGUAGCGGUGAAAUGCGCAGAUAUCGGGAGGAACACCGGUGGCGAAGGCGGUUCUCUGGGCCUUACCUGACGCUGAGGAGCGAAAGCGUGGGGAGCGAACAGG